rnacentral:tRNA from 1 species
UAUAUUUUAAUGUAAAAAGCAUAAAAAUUUUUGAAAUUUUUAGAAAUAGUUUAAUUCUAUUAUAUAUAU